ensembl:lncRNA
AGGAUGAGUGUAAAGGAAACAACAAACCUCUCAUCAACACUCAGGGAGGUCAGACACAGGCUGCAAGAGGAAGAUUUUCUCUGCAUGACAGCUCCACUGCUGGAGUCUUCACUGUGACCAUCACUGGACUGGAAGCAAAGGAUUCUGGGAAGUACUGGUGUGGAACCAAUGGAACUACUGUGUUCAUAUUUGAUUACUACACAGAGCUGCAGGUGACACCUAGAGAAGAUGCUGCUGUGGUUGUCUGUGUGUCUUUGACUGCUGUUGCUCUGCUGUUGGGGAUCCUAGUCAUCAUUAUCUACACGUGCAGGAAGAAGAGGACAAGAGGUGCUGCUGCUGCUGUCCCUCUAAGCCAGAUAACUCCAGCUCCUUUUGCCUCAUCAGAGGCUGAGGAUGAUUAUGAAAAUGAUCCUGCAGCACCAUCACAAAAUGAAGCCCCCACCAACACCCCGGCAUCUGAGUCCGUCUACCAGAGCCUGAACGCAGACACCCUCCAGCAGGAUUCAGUUUAUCAGUCCCUGAACCCCAACACAAACCAACAAGAUUGAGUUUAUCAAAGCCUCCAUCAACACAGGUCAGUUGAGUUACCAUCGUAAUGAAGAACAAGAAGAAGAGGAAACAGAUUAUGAUGAAGAGGAACAGGAAGAAGAUGAAGUGGAAAAAAGGAAAAGAAGGUGGAGGAGGAGAAGGAGGAAUAGUAACAAUUAAUGAAAUGAAGUAAAGAUGUUUGCUUUAAACUGCUGUAUGCUUUUUUUUUCUGUAAACAUUGCAAUCAUUGAAUAAUUACUGUCUUGCCCAGCUGGUGUGUGUGUGGCAAAUAAAACAUGUGCAUGUAAACCGA